UCGUGCUAGGUGGGGGGCUGGCGGUCCCCUGUCAGCCGAAACCCGCCCAAGCGGGACCGAAAAGGCAUGCUGAGUACUGAAAAAGGCAAGAAUAACUUGUGGGCGCAAAGGCGAUGAAGGUCGGGUCUUACAAUGGCUAAGGUCUACAAACCCCGCCAGGACCGGAAGGUAGCAACGGUAAGUAGGUUUUGGUCAAGUGUAAGGGCACCUGACCAGAGUUUUUGUCCCAAAAGUCCUUGCCCGCUUCAGGCGAACUUGCCGCACGA
rnacentral:SRP_RNA from 1 species